rnacentral:rRNA from 1 species
GACGAACGCUGGCGGCGUGCUUAACACAUGCAAGUCGAACGGAGAGGCCCUGCUCUUGUGGGGUGUUCGAGUGUCGAACGGGUGAGUAUCACGUGAGUGACCUGUCCUUGACUUUGGGAUAACUUCAGGAAACUGGGGCUAAUACCGGACAUGAGCUCCAGCUGUAUGGUGUGGUCUGGAAAGUUGCGGCGGUUGGGGAUGACCGCGCGGAUCAGCAGCUUGUUGGUGGGGUGGUGGAUUACCAAGGCUUCGACGGGUAGCCGGCCUGCGAGGGUGACAGGCCACAUUGGGACAGGGGUGCGGCCCAUACGGCUACGGGGGGAAGGAGUGGGAAACAGUGCACGAAGGGCGGCGGCCGGAAGCAGCAACGCCGCGUGGGAGAUGAAGGCCUUAGGGUUGGAACCCGCUUGCGCCUGUAAAGAAGCGUGAGUGACGGUAAUGGGUAAAAAAGCACCGGCUAACUACGUG